CCGUGGAGGGCACUUUCCCAGUCCCCGAGGCGGAUCCGGUGUUGCAUCCUUGGAGAGAGCUGAGAGCUGGAGUACAGAACCUGCUAAGGCCAUCAAACCUAUUGAUCGGAAGUCAGUCCAUCAGAUUUGCUCUGGGCAGGUGGUACUGAGUCUAAGCACUGCGGUGAAGAAGAUAGUAGAAAACAGUCUGGAUGCUGGUGCCACUAAUAUUGUGAUGUCACCAUUUCUACCUGCCACGUAUCGGCGAAGGUUGGGACUCGACUGGUGUUUGAUCACGAUGGGAAAAUCAUCCAGAAAACCCCCUACCCCCACCCCAGAGGGACCACAGUCAGCGUGAAGCAGUUAUUUUCUACGCUACCUGUGCGCCAUAAGGAAUUUCAAAGGAAUAUUAAGAAGAAACGUGCCUGCUUCCCCUUCGCCUUCUGCCGUGAUUGUCAGUUUCUUGAGGGCUCCCCAGCCAUGCUUCCUGUACAGCCUGCAAAACUGACUCCUAGAAGUACCCCACCCCACCCCUGCUCCUUGGAGGACAACGUGAUCACUGUAUUCAGCUCUGUCAAGAAUGGUCCAGGUUCUUCUAGAUGAUCUGCACAAAUGGUUCCUCUCCUCCUUCCUGAUGUCUGCCAUUAGCAUUGGAAUAAAGUUCCUGCUGAAAAUCCACAUCUCCCCUGGGUCCGGUGUUCUGGAAGUGAGAGAGACAAUGUCACACUUCAAGGAGGCAGCUCUCUAGACAGGAAGGUUAUUCACGUCCCAUGUCAAGUCUAGCUAGAGUUCAGAGCAAUUGAGAAGUGCAAUUUUAUCUCCUGCCUUUCAUUCUAUACCCUGCUUCUGAACCAUCGUGUUCAACUGUGAAACUCACACUUUGGUGACCCUGACUCCAAAACUUAAUACACCCAAGGUCAGCCCCAGUGAUCUGCUUCAUAGCAAGGACUUUGGGUGGGUCUUCCCAGGGAGUAGGGCACCCUCAGAGAAUGUGGCUUUGGACUUCAUCACAGCUGGGGCCUUUUGUGUCACUUCAGAUCUAAACUUGUAACCGUGCUAGAUCUGUUUCUAAUGUGACAACAUCACGAACCACGAGUCCAGAAGCCUAAUCCAUAAUCCUCCCUCCUCAUGACAAAGUCUCAUGCUCUGUGCUC
rnacentral:lncRNA from 1 species